CCCUUAGAUGUUCUGGGCCGCACGCGCGCUACACUGAUGCAUUCAACAAGCCUAGCCUUGACCGAGAGGUCCGGGUAAUCUUUGAAACUGCAUCGUGAUGGGGCUAGAUUAUUGCAAUUAUUAAUCUUCAACGAGGAAUGCCUAGUAAGCGUGAUUCAUCAAAUCGCGUUGAUUACGUCCCUGCCCUUUGUACACACCGCCCGUCGCUCCUACCGAUUGAAUGUGUUGGUGUGGAGCUCGGAUUGGCAGCAGUUGGUGGUUCGCCACCGGCUAUUGCUGAGAAGUCCUCCAAACCGCCCCAUUUAGAGGAAGGAGAAGUCGUAACA
rnacentral:rRNA from 1 species